AUUGAACGCUGGCGGCAGGCCUAACACAUGCAAGUCGAGCGGAGCGGCGGACGGGUGAGUAAUGCCUAGGAAUCUGCCUGGCAGUGGGGGAUAAUGUCCGGCAACGGGCGCUAAUACCGCAUACUAUCAGAUGAGCCUAGGUCGGAUUAGCUAGUUGUUGGGGUAAAGGCCUACCAAGGCGACGAUCCGUAACUGGGCUGAGAGGAUGAUCAGUCACACUGGAACUUAGGCGCGGUCCAGAAUCCUACGGAGGGCAGCAGGGGGGAAUAUUGGGCAAUGGGCAAAAGCAUGAUCCAGCCAUGCCGCUUGUGUGAGAGAGGUCUUCGGAUUGUAAAGAGCUUUAAGUUGAAAGGCAUUACCAAAAGAAUAAGCACCGGCUAACUACGUGCCAGCAGCCGCGGUAAUUG
rnacentral:rRNA from 1 species